CUGCCUUAAACCAAUGAGUAAGGAAAACAAAGCGAGCGGUGAGAGCUGCUCGCGCAGGAAAUUUUGGAGGGUUAUAGGCUGGCCGAGUGUUGACGCUGCUUACUUUUGCAGAACUCUCUCGUGCGGGCCUCCC